GCCGAUUUAGCUCAGUUUGGUAGAGCGUCUGAUUUGUAAUCAGAGGGUCACAGGUUCAAGUCCUGUAGUCGGCA
rnacentral:tRNA from 7 species